rnacentral:misc_RNA from 1 species
UAAUAGCUCCAUAGUACUCCAUUG